ensembl:lncRNA
CGGCGGACGCGGCUGGGUCUGACCACAUUUCUGCAGCAACAGUGACAACUGAAGUAGAUGUUCGUCCACGCGCCGAGGAUACGCCUGGGCAGCGGGGAAAGAGGGAGACGAAGCAGGGCCGGUAACUAGGGCGGGGUGGCCAGGCCCGGGAAUCCGAGAAGAGGGCAGACUGGUGGGGGACGCAGCCCCACCGUCCCGCGGGAGCCUCUGCCCGGGAGAGAGGACGCCAGGAGCAGCCGGGAGCGGGGCCACGGCGGCGGAGGAAGAGGCAGCCCGGGUGGCCGUGCCCUGAUGAGGCCCCAAGAUGCACCACAGAAAACAUCCUGAAAAGCACCCUGCGGAUCCCAGCAACCAGCCAUUAGGUUGUAUCCUUCAAAAUUGAGAACAAUUCGACCCUCCCAAUCUGAAGAAAGAACAACUUAACUAACUACUAUUGUAAUACGGUUUGGAUCAAGUGUGGAAUGAUAAAAGAUAAGUACAGAAUGGCAGACUAAGUUAUUUUUUUUCUAAGUUAUUUGGAUUGCUUCUGCAAAAGGUAGGAAGGUGGCGUGGAAUCCCUUAUGUUGAGGCUUUUAUAGCUCUUUAUUUCUGGAAAAUCCCAGAAACUAUGGUACUUAGAGGGGCCUCUAAGAAAAAAGGAUUUGAUAUUGUUCACGAUCCUGACCUCAGACCCCUGCCUGUCUCUCAGGAUGAUAUGGGUCUUUCCUACUAAGUUAGUGAAAACAACCACACUAGGCAGGGUCCUCAACAUUCUCUUUAUAAUCUACAGUCAAUAAAUACUUAGGAACUCUGCUUGAGGCUAAUGAUAGGGUUGCAGAUGGGCCUCUAGAGCUCUGUGACCAAAUUGCUGGACAUGUACUUUUCUGUUUCCAACAGUUGAGGUGAAAGGAAGAUAAAAAGAGAAGGGUUGAAGAUGAAAGACAGGCCAAAAUUAUAGCUGUUGCUAUUGGCAAUGCUUUAAACACACCCAAGUUUGUCUAAGGAAAACCCAAAGGCAAUUGAAAAAAGGGUUCCUGCUUUAAAUGCAAGAAGAUUGGACACUGGGCACACGACUGGACUAAGCCACUGCCUGGGCCCU